GAUGAACGCUGGCGGCGUGCCUAAUACAUGCAGGUCGAGCGAACAGACGAGGAGCUUGCUCCUCUGACGUUAGCGGCGGACGGGUGAGUAACACGUGGAUAACCUACCUAUAAGACUGGGAUAAUUUCGGGAAACCGGAGCUAAUACCGGAUAAUAUAUUGAACCGCAUGGUUCAAUAGUGAAAGACGGUUUUGCUGUCACUUAUAGAUGGAUCCGCGCCGCAUUAGCUAGUUGGUAAGGUAACGGCUUACCAAGGCAACGAUGCGUAGCCGACCUGAGAGGGUGAUCGGCCACACUGGAACUGAGACACGGUCCAGACUCCUACGGGAGGCAGCAGUAGGGAAUCUUCCGCAAUGGGCGAAAGCUUGACGGAGCAACGCCGCGUGAGUGAUGAAGGUCUUCGGAUCGUAAAACUCUGUUAUUAGGGAAGAACAAAUGUGUAAGUAACUAUGCACGUCUUGACGGUACCUAAUCAGAAAGCCACGGCUAACUACGUG
rnacentral:rRNA from 1 species